UGCAACUCCCUGUCAGAUAUCCCUUCAGUACCUCUAGUGUUUACUAAUUCAACUCUAAUUCAGAGUAAACAGCCAUUUGGGACUGAAAACAAAGAGGAUGAAGAGAUCAGAGAUGGGGAGAAGGAAGCCUUCUUUCUUGGGUAUGCUGGGAAGGCAUCAUUCCAACCUUCUACCAUCAGUGAGCAAGUUGGAGAAAUUGACAAAUGAGCUCCAGAAGAUGACCUAACCUACAAUAAGGAAGACACCAUCAGAGCUGCCUAUCCUUCCCAACACUAAAUAAAGGAAAUAUUUUCUUU